UUGCCUCUGCCAUGUUGGUUACGAUCGGUAGUUUUUGAAGAACCGAUACCCAUAUUUUGGGAAACCAGUUCUUAUACGCCGGAUGAGCCUGCCAGCCAGGAUUUCUGGACGGUAAGUUACGGUUGCCCCCCUGGAAAUACUGGGUUUUUCAAAAAGCCCUUCGGACGGCAUAUCGGCGGAGGCCUU
rnacentral:other from 1 species